CUGAGGAAGAACAAAGCUGCAGAUGGGCAAAAUGAAACAGGACCAGGCCGAGCGGUUUCACAACAGCACCCAGCUCCCAGCGGCGGCCGAGGCUGCCUGCUGACGCCGAGAGCUGGCCAGCGCCCUAGGGAGCAGAGGACAUUUGGAGGAAGAUACUACAUUUUCUUUUCAACUUCUGAGAAAACAGAGUCUCCACGAGGCACGUGGUCUGGUCUGCAGAGUGAGAUUUCUCUCCCUGUGCACUGUGGCAAUGCAUUCACCACAAACCUCUCAACAGAGGCUGACAUUCUUAUAAGAAGUUAAAAACGAAAUGCAA